rnacentral:rRNA from 1 species
AAUCAACGCUGGCGGCGUGCCUAACACAUGCAAGUCGAACGAGAAAGUCCCGCAAGGGAUGAGUACAGUGGCGCACGGGUGAGUAACACGUGACUAACCUACCUUUCAGUGGGGGAUAACCUCGGGAAACCGGGGCUAAUACCGCAUAACAUCGCGAGGUGAAAUUCCUUGUGAUCAAAGGAGCAAUUCGCUGAUUGAGGGGGUCGCGGCUGAUUAGCUAGUUGGUGGGGUAAUGGCCCACCAAGGCAGUGAUCAGUAUCCGGCCUGAGAGGGCGCACGGACACACUGGGACUGAGACACGGCCCAGACUCCUACGGGAGGCAGCAGUGGGGAAUCUUGCGCAAUGGGCGAAAGCCUGACGCAGCGACGCCGCGUGAGGGAAGAAGGCCU